rnacentral:lncRNA from 1 species
ACAAACAUCAAAAUACCACCCUUCAAAGUUCAGUUGAACUUUACGCAACCAACACUGCCAAUCGAUCUUAUCUUCUCCAUCUCCUCAAAACAACUUUACGGCAACCAAACUGCUUCAAAGUUUACCACCCUUCAAAGUUCAGUUCAAGUUGAUCUUAUCUUCUCCAUCUCCUCAAAGUUCAGUUCAACAAAUAUCACCGCCCACCCUUCGGUUCUUCACCUAGGUCGUGCCGGAAACUAGAUUUGCAGUUCAGUUCAACAAAUAUCACCGCCCCCCCCCCUUCAGAUGAAGACGAUGAGGUUUUGAGGGCCGGCGACCGGAGACGCCGCUCACGGCGGCGGUCUUUAUCUCCGACCGGAGACGCCGCUCACGGUAAACCCUCCUGUUUGUGAUCAAUCACCUGAUACAUCUUGCAAAGUCCCCCUCUGCAGGAAAUUUAAAACUAAAGGGCAGCAAGUGAAUAACAAAAAGAAAGAAGCAAGAUGGGAAUUUCUAGUUAGAAAAGUUGAAGCAGCUAAAGCUGUAUCGUCGGAUAUGUAAUUUUAUUUUGGUUAUGCUCGUAGAUUUUAAACAUUUUUUUUUUAUUUGCUUUUGUAUCCGAUCUCUCUCGGAUGUUUUAUAA